ACAGGUGGUGCAUGGUUGUCGUCAGCUCGUGUCGUGAGAUGUUGGGUUAAGUCCCGCAACGAGCGCAACCCUUAUCUUUAGUAGCCAGCGAGUAAAGUCGGGCACUCUAGAGAGACUGCCGGGGUUAACCCGGAGGAAGGUGGGGAUGACGUCAAAUCAUCAUGCCCCUUAUGUCUUGGGCUACACACGUGCUACAAUGGCUGCGACAAAGGGAAGCGAAGGGGUGACCUGGAGCGAAACCCAAAAAAGCAGUCCCAGUUCGGAUUGUAGUCUGCAACUCGACUACAUGAAGCCGGAAUCGCUAGUAAUCGCGAAUCAGCAUGUCGCGGUGAAUACUUUCCCGGGUCUUG
rnacentral:rRNA from 1 species